AAGAGAUUUACAUCAUAGAAUAGAACUCAUCUCUUAGUUACGGUUUUCAAGAUCCAAUUGUGUGUCCGAUUUCAAUCACCAACUAACAAGAAAAGAGAUGGGGAUGAUUUUCUCUCAAAUAUCUCGGUUAUUAUGCUUGAUCCUCCUCUUAUCUCAUGUAGCUUGGAGUCUGGCUGCAUGCACAGAAGACGUAGGUCGAGAUGCGGAUUGUCCAAGGUCACCACCACAAAAUCUUAAAAGAGGGCCGCCUUCUGGACGGCCAUGAAAACAAAUGUGACGUAUGCAAAGGAGCAAAAGAAUCCUCUUGUCACUGGUUUAGUGGUUUUUGUAAAUGAAAAUUUAGCUUUUACCAUUAUCCCACUUGGUUUAUUUAAUAGAUUGGUGCGAUAACAAAUAAUUCUUAUAGCUUCGAAAAAAUAAAAUAAAAAUUCUUUUAGCUUGUUUCUUCCA